GAUAGCUGCAGGCUCAGCUGUCCUGAAGUGGUUCCAGGAGAUGUGGCUUCAGCUAUAGUAGCUUCAGACAACCUACAGUCAGUCACCCAGGAGGUCUCCAACCUGUAGCCACUUUGGAUGCCUCCACCCACCUUCAGCUGACCCCAUUCUGGCAGAAAAGGAGCACCUCCCCAGCCCACAACAGCCAAAACAGGUAAUAAGUGAUACAGAGCAGAAACUCCUGUCCCUCUUUGCUGAUGACCCAGCACAAGG
rnacentral:lncRNA from 1 species